rnacentral:lncRNA from 1 species
GGUUUUGAUUUAAGGCCCCUGCCCCUGGGAGAUGGGGCCUCUCAUCAGCACACACAAUGAUGCUUCAGUGUAAAUGAACGCCGAGGAGUCUGUGUCUGGCACAGAAAGCUCCAGGCUGAACCAGGAUGUCUGCAGCCAUUGCUAGCUCAGGGGAGGAGGAGGAGCAACCACAGCUAUCAAGAGCCAGUGCCCGGACCAAGUGUGGCUGCUGUCUUCACAGGCUUCCUGACAAGCUGGAGACCAUAAAUAAAAGAUUCUCCUUUGGCAGGAACACAGGGGAAUCCUGGUGUGGCCAACAGUGAAAGCAAAAAGUCUGAGGGAAAAGCCUGGAAUCUCUGCUGACUCUACUGGGUCACUCUACUUCUCUCUCCAAUCCUAACCGCCUCUGAGAAGCCACCAGUGCCAGGCAAGCCACGAUGUCAAAGCUGACACCAACAGCUGUUCUCUGGAGAAGCCGCUGCCUCUGUUUAGAAGCUGUGCCCAUUAGGGCUGCAGUGAACUGUGGGCUACCCUGACACAAAGUGGGGACCUGCUUGCUUGCAUUAGGGAACUCUGCUAACCCAGACCUUCAUACUGACACCUGCCCUCGCAGACCAAAGGCCAAAACCAAAAUAAAACGGAAGAG